rnacentral:lncRNA from 12 species
GCUUAGUUUGGAGCAUUUCUAUUCCAGUGGUGCUGUGGCAAGCAAAUCAACAGGUUUCAACAAUCUGUAUUUGUUAGUCUAGCUCAGCAGUGACAGUUUCUUGCUGCUCAGAGCUGCAAUGCUAUGAGGACACUAAUGGAACAGAUUCUUUGUUAUGACUAAGAGGAAAAGAGCUGAGAAUUCUUCUCCUCCUGUGAUGCCGGUGAAAGUGUUACAAUACAAGCUGCAGUAAAAGACUAGAGAUAAAUGCAGUAUUUGAGAGAGAAGGCAAGAAGUCCAGAAUCACCUCGUAAGGUGGAAAACUUGAUGCACGAGGGGUUACUUAUACUGAGAGACUGGUACUUAAACAAAUAAGCUGAUCAGAGGUCCCCAGCUUGGAGAUCAGUUACUGCAAAUAUGCAAAGAACUAAAAAGCAUCUAUGUGAAUUAUAUAAAUACAGAAAAAUCUUUGUGAAG